rnacentral:rRNA from 1 species
CAGUACCGCGGUAAUACGGAGGGAGCUAGCGUUGUUCGGAAUUACUGGGCGUAAAGCGCACGUAGGCGGUUAUUCAAGUCAGAGGCGAGAGCCCGGGGCUCAACCCCGGAACUGCCUUUGAAACUAGAUGACUAGAAUCUUGGAGAGGUCAGUGGAAUUCCGAGUGUAGAGGUGAAAUUCGUAGAUAUUCGGAAGAACACCAGUGGCGAAGGCGACUGACUGGACAAGUAUUGACGCUGAGGUGCGAAAGCGUGGGGAGCAAACAGGAUUAGAUACCCGUGUAGUCCCUGUCUCUUAUACA